AAUGUUGGACCUUAGAGGACAGAGCACGCUGGUACGGUGUAGUUCACUUUUGGAUGCUUUGUAUUUGAUGUGUAGGAUGAACUUACUUUGAAAAUUUGAAUUUGGGAAAUUGUAUAAAAUUCUUGAUGUAGAUGGUGAAGUUUUCUGCAUUUGUCAGCAGAGACCUGUUACAAAAGAGGAAGUCAGUUUUGGUUGAUCUAUUUAUCUACGACAUAUGAAUGGUUGUUUGUCCACAUGUGCGCUACGAUUGAUUGGCAGCCAGCCCAGGUCUCCCCUGCUACUCGCCCAAAGUCCCCUGCUUAAGUUAAGAGGGCAAGUCCUACAGGUGGAUACGUUUAGAUGCCUGAAGAAAGGACACCAGCCAAAGAUUUCACAGGUUCCAGGAGUGUUGAACCAUAACACUGAGGGAUGUCCUACCAUGACCAGACACCACGAGCUUUCCCUCUUCGCAAUCCCCGUCUUGCUGGCAGAGUCCAUCCAGCACUUUGGGGCUCUAGGAACAAACACAACAAACAUUCACAACUCGUUUCAGCAUUCACAACUCGUUUCAGCCUGCGACUCACAUUUUCAUAUGAUUAUGAAAUCUUGACCCACUUUUACAUGAGUCAAUCAAGUGCAGUAAAGAAAUAUUUGGCUCAGUCUGUACAUGUUCAAUAAAAAAUGAUAUACUUUGUAAGUAAUAGAAGGACAUAGCCUGGGCACAAAAUUAAACAUUUCAAUCGCUGAACACAUUACUCAUCAUUACUUUUUGUCCAGUAUUAGUUGAUGUUUUGGCAGUUUAAAAUAUAUUUAGUUUGGAUUGCAAAAUUUGGUUCUUGAUCUGAAAUUCCUAACAAGGCAAAGCAACCCUGCUUUGGAGCCUUAGCACACUUUGCCCUUGCAAAUGAGCAGCUGUGUUUAAGUGCCUCACCAUUUUGUGUAACUGCAAUUUGAUUUAUAAGAACAUAACUGAGAAAGCAGACACAAAUGUACACAAGGGCUGCGGUAUAACCCUGGUACAUGUUAGUUGUUUUUCUUGGCUGCUGCAAGAGUGACGACGGUGACUGUGCAUGCCGGGAACUCGGACAGUCUGGAGACUUGAUGUAGAAGAUACA